CAAUAGCGUAUAUUAAAGUUGUUGCAGUUAAAAAGCUCGUAGUUGGAUUUGUGGUGUGUCCAGUCGGCCUUUGCUCUCUGAGUGAUUGUGCUGUACUGGUCUGCCAUGUUUGGGUGGAAUCUGUGUGGCAUUAAGUUGUCGUGCAGGGGAUGCCCAUCGUUUACUGUGAAAAAAUUAGAGUGUUCAAAGCAGGCUUAUGCCGUUGAAUAUAUUAGCAUGGAAUAAUGAUAUAGGACCUUGGUACUAUUUUGUUGGUUUGCGCACUAAGGUAAUGAUUAAGAGGGACAGUUGGGGGUAUUUGUAUUCCAUUGUCAGAGGUGAAAUUCUUAGAUUUUUGGAAGACAAACUACUGCGAAANCANNNACCAAGGAUGUUUUCAUNAA
rnacentral:rRNA from 1 species